AGAGUUUGAUCCUGGCUCAGGAUGAAUGCUGGCGGCGUGCCUAACACAUGCAAGUCGAGCGGCAGCGGGUUCUGCACUAUCAACUUGAAGCCUGGACGCGGGGAUUUCCGAAGGAAAUCAGCCGCAUCAUUUUGAAAGAGAUGAGUGUCUGGGGUGACUUCGAACUGAUAGUGCAGAAUGCCGGCGAGCGGCGAACGGCUGAGUAACGCGUAGGAAUUUGCCCCAAAGUGAGGAAUAACUGCCCGAAAGGGUAGCUAAUGCCGCAUAUGGUCUUCGGAUUAAAGGAUUUAUCCGCUUUGGGAGAAGCCUGCGUUGGAUUAGGUUGUUGGUAGGGUAAUGGCCUACCAAGCCGACGAUCCAUAGCUGGUCUGAGAGGAUGAUCAGCCAGACUGGAACUGAGACACGGUCCAGACUCCUACGGGAGGCAGCAGUGAGGAAUCUUCCACAAUGGGCGAAAGCCUGAUGGAGCAACGCCGCGUGAAGGAUGAAGGCCUUCGGGUUGUAAACUUCUUUUAUGAGUGAAGAAUAUGACGGUAACUCAUGAAUAAGCACCGGCUAACUACGUGCCAGCAGCCGCGGUCAUACGUAGGGUGCGAGCAUUAUCCGGAGUGACUGGGCGUAAAGAGUUGCGUAGGCGGUUUAAUAAGUGAAUAGUGAAACCUGGUGGCUCAACCAUACAGACUAUUAUUCAAACUGUUAAACUCGAGAAUGGUAGAGGUAACUGGAAUUUCUUGUGUAGGAGUGAAAUCCGUAGAUAUAAGAAGGAACACCGAUGGCGUAGGCAGGUUACUGGGCCAUUUCUGACGCUAAGGCACGAAAGCGUGGGGAGCGAACCGGAUUAGAUACCCGGGUAGUCCACGCCGUAAACGAUGGAUACUAGCUGUUGGAGGUAUCGACCCCUUCAGUAGCGAAGCUAACGCGUUAAGUAUCCCGCCUGUGGAGUACGGCCGCAAGGCUAAAACAUAAAGGAAUUGACGGGGAC
rnacentral:rRNA from 1 species